UUGCGGAUUUUCAAGAAUUUCCAUCAAUUUCUCUGAGAUCCCAUCAUCAGAUCCUGGUUUUCUUAUCAUGAUACCAAACUAGGGAUAUCUCCUUUCCAACAAAAAAGAAUUAUCAAAAUCGGUACAUCCAGUAGAAAGUUAUGCGGUAUAAUACAACGUAGGUCGACGAAAAAAGCGUCAAGUAAAAACGCAUUAUCAGAUAUAGCUCGAAAAGUAGUUGUUAGAUUUCAAAUAAAUUUAAAUGGGACCAAUUGGCACACACCACCUUUCGAUUAAAACAAAAUUUGUCGAAAUCGGUCUACCCGGUCAAAAGUUCUGAUGUAACAUACAUAAA
rnacentral:misc_RNA from 1 species